rnacentral:tRNA from 1 species
GUGGCUGUAGCUCAGUGGUAGAGCACUUGCCUAGCAUGUGUGAGGCACUGGGUUCAAUUCUCAGUACCAUG